GAUGAACGCUGGCGGCGUGCCUAAUACAUGCAAGUCGAGCGAACAGACGAGGAGCUUGCUCCUCUGACGUUAGCGGCGGACGGGUGAGUAACACGUGGAUAACCUACCUAUAAGACUGGGAUAACUUCGGGAAACCGGAGCUAAUACCGGAUAAUAUAUUGAACCGCAUGGUUCAAUAGUGAAAGACGGUUUUGCUGUCACUUAUAGAUGGAUCCGCGCCGCAUUAGCUAGUUGGUAAGGUAACGGCUUACCAAGGCAACGAUGCGUAGCCGACCUGAGAGGGUGAUCGGCCACACUGGAACUGAGACACGGUCCAGACUCCUACGGGAGGCAGCAGUAGGGAAUCUUCCGCAAUGGGGGAGAGCCUGACGGAGCAACGCCGCGUGAGUGAUGAAGGUCUUCGGAUCGUAAAGCUCUGUUAUUAGGGAAGAACAAAUGUGUAAGUAACUAUGCACGUCUUGACGGUACCUAAUCAGAAAGCCACGGCUAACUACGUG
rnacentral:rRNA from 1 species